rnacentral:lncRNA from 1 species
GCUUGGUCCUGUUUGUGGGUGAGUCCCAGAAAGAGGGCCAAUUAUCUACAAAUUCUAUCUUUUGGGAGGGGCAGAAAACAGUUUUCAACCAGCGAUUGAGUUGUGAGACUCUGCUGUAGAGCUCAUCACUCCCCCUAACUGGGAGGGGGCCAUAGACAAUUAAUCGAUGCCGACACAUCUUUCUAGCUGAUUUACACGCUGAAGCUAUGUUGCGCUUGGUGACCUCUGACUGUUUCAUCCUAACAUCGUUGGUGCCGACGUGGAUAACAAUAUCUCUAUACUCUCUACACUCGCCAGUUUUAGCUUUAGCCAGCACCGUCUUUAGAUUAGCCUUAACGUCGGUAGCCCUGCCCCCUGGUAAACAGUGUAUGAUCGCUGGAUGAUUAGUUUUAAGUCUAAUACUGCGGGUAAUGGAGUCGCCAAUGACUAGGGUUUUCAAUUUGUCAGAGCUAAUGGUGGGAGCCGUCGGCGUCUCAGACCCCACAACGGGAGGAGCAGAGACCAGAGAAGUCUCGGCCUCCGACUCCGACUCGCUUAAUGGGGAGAUCCGGUUGAAAGUUUCUGUCGGCUGAAUAAGCGACACCGGUUGAGCAUUCCUACAGCAUUUCCCUCCAGAAGCCAUGAGAAAGUUGUCUGGCUGUGGGGACCGUGCGAGGGGGUUUAUACUAACGUUACUAUCUGUACUUACUGGUGGCACAGACGCUGUUUCAUCCUUUCCUACACUGAAAUUGCCCUUGCCUAACGAUUGCGUCUGAAGCUGGGCUUGCAGCACAGCUAUCCUUGCUGUAAGGCGAUCGUUCUCCUGUAUAUUAUAAGUACAACGACUGCAAUUAGAAGGCAUCAUGAUAAUGUUACUUAGCUUCGGCUGUUUGAAGUCCUGACGAACCAUGUCCAGAUAAAACCUCCGGCGUAAAAAAAGUUGAAUGAAAAAAGUUGAGUGAGGGAAAAAGUAAAAAUAUACGGUAAUGAAAAAGUAAAAACCGUCAGGUAGCAAAGUAAGUAUUGGCAGGCAAUCUAACGUGUGUGUUUGUGUGUAUUUGUAGUGCUCUGUCCCCUGUGGAGACAGUUGUGUUUCAUCUUGGCUCUUUUUAUUGAAGACUGAGGAUCUUUGCUAUAACGUGACACUUCCUACGGCUCCCAUAGGCUCUCAGAGCCCGGAAAAAGCUGAACGAUAUCGAGGCAGCCUCUGGCUGAAACACUUUAUCGCGUUUGGCAAGUGGCCGAUCAGAGUACUAUGGGCUUAGGCGCGUGCCUGAGUCGACCCCAUGCUUUAUUUUCUUUCGUCUGUUUACCUAAACGCAGAUUCCCGGUCGGAAUAUUAUCGCUUUUUUAUGAGAAAAAUGGCAUAAAAAUGUAUUUUAAACAGCGGUUGACAUGCUUCGAAGUACGGUAAUGGAAUAUUUCGAAUUUUUUGGUCACGAAUUGCGCCAUGCUCGUCACCCUUAUUUACCCUUUCGGAUAGUGUCUUGAACGCACAAACAAAACGCCGCUAUUUGGAUAUAACAAUGGAUUAUUUUGAACCAAACCAACAUUUGUUAUUGAAGUAGAACUCCUGGGAGUGCAUUCUGACGAAGACAGCAAAGGUAAUAACAUUUUUCUUAUAGUAAAUCUGACUUUGGUGAGUGCUAAACUUGCUGGGUGUCUAAAUAGCUAGCCCUGUGAUGCCGGGCUAUCUACUGAGAAAAUUGCAAAAUGUGCUUUCACCGAAAAGCUAUUUUAAAAUCGGACAUAUCCGGUGCAUAGAGGAGUUCUGUAUCUAUAAUUCUUAAAAUAAUUGUUAUGCUUUUUGUGAACGUUUAUCGUGAGUAAUUUAGUAAAUUCACCGGCAGUGUUCGGUGGGAAUGGUAGUCACAUGCUAGUCACAUGCUAAUGUAAAAAGCUGGUUUUUGAUAUAAAUAUGAACUUGAUUGAACAAAACAUGCAUGUAUUGUAUAACAUAAUGUCCUAGGGUUGUCAUCUGAUGAAGAUCAUCAAAGGUUAGUGCUACAUUUAGCUGUGGUUUGGGUUUAUGUGACAUUAUAUGCUAGCUUGAAAAAUGGGUGUCUGAUUAUUUCUGGCUGGGUACUCUGCUGACAUAAUCUAAUGUUUUGCUUUCGUUGUAAAGCCUUUUUGAAAUCGGACAGUGUGGUUAGAUUAACGAGAGUCUUGUCUUUAAAAUGGUGUAAAAUAGUCAUAUGUUUGAAAAAUUGAAGUUUUUGCAUUUUUGAAUAACGCGCCACGGGAUUACACUGGCUGUUGAGUAGGUGGGACGAUUCAUACCCUAGAGAGGUUAAGGAUUCUCAUGUACUAAACAACCAAAGAUUUCAAGAUUAAAGGCUCUUUUAUACUACAUUUACAUUUUAGUCAUUUAGCAGACACUCUUAUCCAGAGUGACUUUUCAUUUCAUGUAUUCUUUUAUUUUAUUGUUUUGUACUGGCCCCCCGUGGGAAUCGAACCCACAACCCUGGCGUUGCACACACCAUGCUGGCAUUGCAAACACCAUGCUCUACCAACUGAGCCACUGAAGACAUGAGUAUAAGUUACAUCACCAGGAAGAGCUGAUUUAUAUAAAAGCCCAUAAUAAUCUCCAAUUAAUUGUCAACAUGCACAAUUAGUAUGUACUUCAGUAUGAUCAACUGUAGCCUACUUAUGAAAACCACAGCUGCAGGUAGCCUAGCCUGUUUACUCUGAUCCCAUCUGGGCCAGGGGUAACGUAACAUCAUGUUUUAAUGGACUAAGUUAUGUAUUUAUAGCCUUUAUUUGUGUUCUGAGAAAAUGUGAAUGUGAUUGAAUUUGGUUUAUAUUUACACUUCGGGUGUAUUACUGAAAUUAAUCAAUCAACACAAUAGUGAUGACAUACUGUAUGAGUAUAUUUUUAAUUACAUAUCCAAAGGCCUACCCGAUGCAAUCCUGCAUACAAUGAGCUCAGCCCUGUUCGUUUUUUUAUCCAAUGACAGUUGUUGUCUCUUUGUCUGUGUAAAGGGUUUAAUUGUUUUCAUCGUCCCUAGGGCCAUAUAAAGUUGUUUUUUUGUACAGCUGAUUCAUUACUAUGUCAUAUGCUACAACUAGGGUCCGGAGUUGGUUAGGUUAGCCGACUACUAGAUCAGGAAAAGCUCUGGGCCCCAGGAAAACAAUCUCCCCCCACCACUCUAGGACCUGUGGGACCACCUCUGAAAUCACCACACAAUGUUACAAAUUAAAAAUAUGUCCUAUUUGUAUGAUCUACUUUUGUAUGUUUUUAGGUGGUGGGGAUGGGCUUCCAUAGUUUUACGUGGCUCAGUGCAGGCUAGCAGGCUGUUACUGCAGUUUCAGAAUGUAACAGGCUGUUACUGCAGUUUCAGAAUGUAGCAGGCUGUUACUGCAGUUUCAGAAUGUAGCAGGCUGUUACUGCAGUUUCAGAAUGUAACAGGCUGUUACUGCAGUUUCAGAAUGUAACAGGCUGUUACAACAAUUUCAGGUAAAAACGGAAUAAAACAAGUCUCAAAUACACUGCGUGCACAAUUAUUUGGCAAGUGAGUAUUCUGAACUUAUCGUUAUUUCUAUUCACAUUUUCGAACUCCAAACCAUAUAAACUUGAAUGCUUAUUGGAUUUAAUCAUUUUCAGGUGAUAUGUAACAGGCUGUUACUGCAGUUUCAGAAUGUAACAGGCUGUUACAACAAUUUCAGGUAAAAACGGAAUAAAACAAGACCUCAAAUACACUGCGUGCACAAUUAUUUGGCAAGUGAGUAUUCUGAACUUAUCGUUAUUUCUAUUCACAUUUUCGAACUCCAAACCAUAUAAACUUGAAUGCUUAUUGGAUUUAAUCAUUUUCAGGUGAUAUGUAUUUGUGUAAUGAGGGAGGGUGUGGCGAAAGUGAAUAACACCUUAUAUCAAGGUGUGCAUAAUUAAUAGGCAGCCUCAUUACCUCAGGUAAAAUGGGGCUGAGGUUUAAUGAGAUUUAACUGACACUGAAAAGCCAAAAAUGUAAAAUGCCUUUCAGACGGACGCGACACUCUUUAAAUAGCUAAACUAUUGAGGCGUGACCACCGGACAAUCAAACGUUUUGUUGCGAAUAGUCAACUGGGGCGCAAAAAAACGUAUGUGGAAGAAAAGGCGCAAAUUAACUGCAAAAGACUUGAGAAGAAUUAAACGUCAAACUACCAGGAACCCAUUAUCCUCCAGUGCCACCAUAUUCCAGAACUGCAACCUACCUGGAGUGUUCAAAAGUACAAGGUGUCAAGUGCUCAGAGACAUGACCAAGGUCAAGAAGACUGAAACAAGACCACCACUGAAUAAGAUUCACAAGUUGAAGCGUCAAGAUUGGGCAAAGAAAUACCUGAAGACAGAUUUUUCAAAGGUUUUAUGGACAGAUGAAAUGAAAGUGACUUUUGAUGGACCAAAUGGAUGGGCCCGUGGCUGGAUCAGUAAUGGACACAGGGCACCACUUUGAGUCAGGUGCCAGCAAGGUGAAGGAGGGGUACUGGUAUGGGCUGCUAUCAUUGAGGAUGAGGUAGUUGGACCUUUUCGGCUUGAAGAUGGACUGAAACUCAACUCCCAAACCUACUGCCAGUUUCUGGAAGAUUAUUUUGUCAAACAGUGGUGCAGGAAGAAGUCCUCAGCAUUCUAUAAGGCCAUGAUCUUUAUGCAGGACAAUGUUCCAUCACAUGCAUCCAAGUACUCCACUGCUUGGCUAGCCAGCAAGGACCUCAAAGAUGCCUGAAUAACGACCUGGCCCCCUUCCUCACCUGACUUAAAUCCUAUUGAGAACUUGUGGUCCCUCCUCAAACGUGAGAUUUACAGUGAGGGAAGACAAUACACCUCUUUGAACAGCAUUUGGGAGGCUGUGGUUGCUGCUUCAGCGAAAAUUGAUCGUGAACAGAUCAAGAAACUGACAGACUCCAUGGAUGGAAGGCUCAUGGCAGUUCUUGAAAAUAAGGGUGGCUAUAUUGGUCACUGAAUAUUUUUGGAAGGCCAAAAAUGUUAUAUAAUUGUCAUUUUGUGUUACUUAUCUGUUACACUUACUCUAAAAAUUGAGAAUCAACAAGUGAGUUGAGAGAAAUUAUUUUUGUAAUUUAGUUGCCUAAUAAUUGUGCACACUAAUGGUUGCCUAAUAAUUGUGCACACUGAUAUAUUUCCCUGGGAAAGACAAAACUCACGUUUCCUUUGUUAAACAUUCAGAUUUGAGGUUCAAUAACAUUUUGGAUUGACUGAGAGCAUUGUGUUUGUUCAACAAUAAAAUUAAUCCUGAGGAAUACAAUUUGCCUAACAAUUGUGCACGCAGUGUAUAAGGAAAAUGUCUAUACAUUUCAGUUGCCCUGCUUCAAGGGGGGCAACUGUCGGGCGAGUGAGAGAAGAGACAUUUUGGCCCCUCAACAAGGGCUAGGAUGAUUAACCCAUAAAAGUCUUCCAUGUGGCCAGAGGUGACAGAGAGCACAUAGUUUAGUGUCUACACUGAAUCAUGUAUUUCAGAAUUUUUACUCCUACAAGGCAUUUCUGUAUCACAUGCCUACAUACAGUAGCUAUAUUCUGGUAACUCAACCGUUCUGAUUCAUUUUAAUAACUAUCCAUGCAAUGAACCUCAGCUUCUCUGUCUCAUCAUUAGUUAUUUGAUAUGGUCUCUUUUGUGGACAUUCCUAACUUUUGACAUUAGUAUGAUACAGCCCAUUUCUGACAUUUUAGCACAAAUUCAAGUCUUAGGGAAAUUACACAGCAUCAUUGCAAAUUAGUUUUGAGUCAUCCCACUGGCAAAUACAUACUAUACAACAGCAUCAUACAUUUGCGUUGGAAAUACAAAUAGAGUUGAAGUCAUUAAAACUCGUUUUUCAACCACUCCACACAUUUCUUCUUAACAAACUAUAGUUUUGGUAAGUCGGUUAGGACAUCGACUUAGUGCAUGACACAAGUCACUUUUCCAACAAUUGUUUACAGACAGAUUAUUUCACUUAUAAUUCACUGUAUCACAAUUCCAAUGGGUCAGAAGUUUACAUACACUAAGUUGACUGUGCCUUUAAACAGCUUGGAAAAUUACUGAAAAUUAUGUCAUGGCUUUAGAAGCUUCUGAUAGGCUAAUUGACAUAAUUUGAGGAUAUUGGCGGUGUACCUGUGGAUGUAUUUCAAGGCCUAUCUUCAAACUCAGUGCCUCUUUGCUUGACAUCAUGGGAAAAUCAAAAGAAAUCAGUCAAGACCUCAGAAAAAAAAUGUAGACCUCCACAAGUCUGGUUCAUACUUGGGAGCAAUUUCCAAAUGCCUGAAGGCACCACGUUCAUCUGUACAAACAAUAGUACGCAAGUAUAAAGACCAUGGGACCACGCAGCCGCCGUACCGCUCAGGAAGGAGAUGCGUUCUGUCUCCUAGAGAUGAACGUACUUUGGUGCAAGAAGUGCAAAUCAAUCCCAGAACAACAGCAAAGGACCUUGAGAAGAUGCUGGAGGAAACAGGUACAAAAGUAUCUAUAUCCACAGUAAAACGAGUCCUAUAUCGACAUAACCUGAAAGGCCGCUCAGCAAGGAAGAAGCCACUGCUCCAAAACCGCCAUAAAAAAAGCUACGGUUUGCAACUGCACAUGGGGACAAAGAUCGUACUUUUUGGAGAAAUGUCCUCUGGUCUGAUGAAGCAGAAAUAGAACUGUUUGGCCAUAAUGACCAUCAUUAUGUUUGGAGGAAAAAGGGGGAAGCUUGCAAGCCGAAGAACACCAUCCCAACCGUGAUGCACGGGGGUGGCAGCAUCAUGUUGUGGGGGUGUUUUGCUGCAGGGGGGACUGGUGCACUUCACUUCACACUGGUGCACUUCAUAGAUGGCAUCAUGAGGGAGGAAAAUUGAAGCAACAUCUCAAGACAUCAGUCAGGAAGUUAAAGCUUUGUCACAAAUGGGUCUUCCAAAUGGACAAUGACCCCUAGCAUACUUCCAAAGUUGUGGCAAAAUGGCUUGAGGACAACAAAAUCAAGGUACUGGAGUGGCCAUCACAACACCCUGACCUCAUGCCUGUAGAAAAUGUGUGGGCUGAACUGAAAAAUCAUGUGCGAGCAAGGAGGCCUACAAACCUGAUACAGUUACACCAGAUCUGUCAGGAGGAAUGGGCCAAAAUUCACCCAACUUAUCAUGGGAAGCUUGUGGAAGGCUACCUGAAAAGUUUGACCCAAGUUAAACAAUUUAAAGGCAAUAAUACCAAAUACUAAUUGAGUGUAUGUAAAUGUCUGACCCACUGGGAAUGUGAUGAAAGAAUUAACAGCUGAAAUAAAUCAUUCUUUCUUCUAUUAUUCUGACAUUUCACAUUCUUAAAAUAAAGUGAUGAUCCUAACUGACCUAAGACAGGGAAUUUUUACUAGGAUUAAAUGUCAGGAAUUGUGAAAAACUGAGUUUAAAUGUAUUUGGCUAAGGUGCAUGUAAACUUUCGACAUCAACU